AGAGGAGUCAUUAGGGGAUCUUGUUAAAAUGCAGAUUUUGAUUGAGGAGGUCAAGGAGGAGGCCUGGUAUAUUGUACUUUUAACAAGCUCCCAGCUGAUGUUGAU
rnacentral:pre_miRNA from 1 species